CAGCCGCCGCGGUAAUACAGAGGGUGCAAGCGUUAAUCGGAAUUACUGGGCGUAAAGCGCGCGUAGGUGGUUUGUUAAGUUGGAUGUGAAAGCCCCGGGCUCAACCUGGGAACUGCAUCCAAAACUGGCAAGCUAGAGUACGGUAGAGGGUGGUGGAAUUUCCUGUGUAGCGGUGAAAUGCGUAGAUAUAGGAAGGAACACCAGUGGCGAAGGCGACCACCUGGACUGAUACUGACACUGAGGUGCGAAAGCGUGGGGAGCAAACAGGAUUAGAUACCCCUGUAGUCCCUGUCUCUUAUAA
rnacentral:rRNA from 1 species